rnacentral:misc_RNA from 1 species
GCUGGAGACCCUGAAACAUUUCACAUUAUGAGGAAUACUGAUGAUCCUACUCGAGUUCGCUUCCAAGCAUCAAAUGGCCAAUUCCUUCAGGCGCAGUCAGAGACAUCGGUGACUGCAGAUUGUGGAGGCUCUGCUGCUAGUUGGGAAGACAGUGAUCCAUCUGUCUUUAUAAUCAACAUUGUGAGAACUUUACAAGGUGAAUACCAAAUCACAAAUGGUUAUGGCCCAGAUAAAGCACCUAAAGUUCU